rnacentral:lncRNA from 1 species
UUGCUUGCACCUUCAGUUGCUUCACUUCAAUUGAUAAGCGUCUCAAUAGUACAUCUAAUUUCUUACCUAGCUCACAACACUAGACCGAGAUAAGAGCCAUGGACGAAGUUAAAAAAUUGUUAUUACAAAUGUUUUUUUCCAACAAAAAAUAGUAAUACAGACCAGACAUGAUAUCACCAGUAUGAUCAAUCAAGUCCUUUAGCUCCUAAAUGUUAGCCCCUUUGAGAUACUCUUUUUUGCUUUCAAAAUCCAAGUCAAUGAGCACAAUGGGAAUUGUUGAUCAUGUUCCUUGUUGAGGGGGUCCGCUCUUUUUUUGGAGAACUUUUUGAAGUGUCGUCUGUCAAGCAACCGACCGGACUCUCAAACAGGGGAGGUGUUGUGCCUAGUCAAGCGACUGUGUUCUUAUCUACUAAUGCCAUAUAAGAGCAUGGUUUCGAAGCCCACCAACGCCAAAUACUAAGCAUUUCCUUGGUGAUGAGGCACUCCCCAAAUUCCUUGAACUUGUUGAGUUCUCCUCGGAAUUAGGAGAAAAAACCAAGGGCUAAAACCAAGCAUAGACAUCAGCUGAUUAAAUCCUCCUCCUCCUCCUCCAGGUAAUUAGUAUUAGAUAUAUUUCCAGCCUUCCUCAUUUUUGCAUGAAGCUCAUGCAGUAUUGGGUAAAUAAGAUUAGAAUGAGAAUGAGAUUUGGCACCAACCACAAACACAUGAACCUUAUUCUCUACUUCUAUCCAGCUGCAACCAGGUUGCUUCUUUAGGCCCUUAUCCUUCAUUUUCAACCUUACCUUAGCAGCAUUUCUCCAUUUUCCUUUUGAAGCAUAUAUGUUAGACAACAACAUGUAAGUGCCUGCAUUUUCUGGUUCCGUGUCUAAUAUCUUUUUCGCAACCAAUUUCCCUAAAAUCACAUCCCCAUGAACAUGACAUCCGGCAAGAAGAGCUUCCCAAACGGAUACAGAUGGUUUAAUCCCAAGCUGCACAAUGAAUUCAAAAGCCUCCUUGAGCUUCCCUGCUCGACUAUAGAGAUCAACCAAGCAUGCAUAGUGAUCGUCUCUAACCUGAAUGGACUUGUCUCUCACGAGCUCAUCAAAGUACCUUAGUCCUUCCUCAAGCAUACCGGAAUGACUGCAUGCAGAGAGCAAAGCCACAUAGGUAGCAUCAUUAGGUUUAAAACGUAAAUCGGACAUUUUUUUGAACAAACUGAUAGCAUCUUCACCACACCCGUGAUGUGCAUAAGCUGCAAUCAUACCAUUCCAUGAGACCACAUCCCUCUGGCUAAUUAAUCCAUCAUCAAACAUUCUCCUAGCUAUAUUUAAUUCCCCACAUUUGGAAUACAUGUUAAUAAGUGCAGAUACAACGAUUUCGUUACGCCGAUAAACUGUUUUCACAAUUGUCUGAUGAACUUCUUGUCCCUCAACAAGGCCAGCUAAAUUACUACAUGCACUCAAAACACUUACAAAAGUUCCCUCAUUAGGCUUUACCCUGUCUUCUGCCAACAUUUUCGCGAAAAUCUUCAAUGCUUCUUCACUUUGUUCACUUUGAACAUAUCCCGUGAUCAUCGUGGUCCAAGAAACCACGUUCUUACAUGGCAUCUCAUUAAACAAUCUCUCAGCUCUCCUUAAUUCCCCAUUCUGAAUAAACCCUGUGAUCAUCCCAUUCCAAGAAGACAAAUCCCUCGUCGGCAUCCUCUCAAACAAAUCAAAAGCCUCAUCCAAUUUCAUAUUCUGUGCAUAGCCAGUAAUCAUCGCAUUCCAGGACACCACAUUCCUCUCUGGCAUCCUAGCGAAAACUUUUCUAGCCUCAUCAACCCUCCCAUUCUUUGCCAACCCCGUGACCAUCGCAGUCCACGAAAUGACAUCCCUUUUAGGCAUCUUAUCAAACAAUGCCCUUGCAUCCUCAACUCUACCGCAUUGCACCAAAGCAGUCAACAUCGUAUUCCAGGAAACCACAUUUCUUUCAGGCAUUUCAUCAAACACUUCAAAAGCCUUAUCGACCAUCCCAUUUUGCAUGUACCCAUCAACCAUAGUAUUCCAAGAUACAACAUUUUUAACCGGCAUUUCCGCAAACAACCUCUCGGCAUCCACAAUUCGAUCUGAUCUUAUAUACCCAUUUAGCAUCGCAGUCCACGUUACUACAUUCUUCCUGGAAUCGACUCUAUCGAACAGUUUCCUAGCUUCAUCAAUUAACCCAAUCCUGAUAUACCCAGAUAUCAAUGCAGUCCAAGUGAUUACAUCUUUAUCUCUCUCACACAAAUUAUCGAACAGUUCCCGUGCUUGGCUUAAUUUGCCUUCUUUACUUAGAUUAGUGAUCAGCCAAUUGGAUCGUGCCACACUUGAACUAACACUGUAAUCUAUACUGGUUAUCGUAGUUUUGCAUUUCACUGAAAUAACUGGUCGGGGUAGGUUUAAACUUCGAAGAACGGUGAAUUUAUUAAAAUAUCUGAAUGUGAUUAAUGCUCGAGAAAUAAUCAACAUUUCUUUUCUCAGGCACUAAACAGAUCCAAUUGAAAAGAUUAAAAUACCACGGAUAUAGGUUGGGUAAAAUUAGAAUGGAGUCCCUCUAAGGAGUCAAAUUAUAUUUUACUCCCUUUAUUAAGAAAAAAAGAUAAAUUAGUCUUGUAUGUUAAUGUUAGAUCAAAUAGUAAAUUGAUUCUUUCUGUUAAAAUUUUUAUCCAUUUUUACUAAUAAGAACCGAUGUAGUUAACGAAAUAACUAAAUAGUUACAAGCGAUGUAUCUCAUGUAUCUCAUGCUAAUGUAUGGAGAUCAAAUUUCAACAGUAAAAAUGAAUAAAAUUUUUAACAAAAAAAUCAAUUUAUUCUCUCAUAUAAUAUACAGGGACUAAUUUAUCAAUUUUUUAAAUUUAAAAAAUAAAAUACAAUCUAACUAUUAAUAUAAUAACCUUCGUAGCACUUCUACCUCAAAACUGAAAACAUGAUUUCAGAGUUGUUCAUUUAUUUUUAUAAAUAUAGUUUUUAUUUAUUUAUUUUUACAUGUAAAUAUGUAGUUUUUGGUAUAAUGUUAAUUUUAGCCCUCAAUUUUUAUUUCUUUUGUUAAGUUAGUCCCUUUUUUUUAACAAUCUCAUUAGGAUAAUACGGUUCAAGACACUCAAACUCACGUUCUCCUAUAUUGACAACAAUACCCAUGUCAAUUUAGUAUGGCAGCCUACGUGGUAGACCAUAUGUACUUCAUGUUGACAUGUCACUAUUUAUCUUAUAUGUUAUUUCAAAACAUAAUUUAAAAUAUUAAAAAUAUUAAAAAAAUAGAAAUUAUAAAAUGUUCAUAAAAUUCAAAAAAAAACAUGAAGUACAAAUAAAUUACCAUGCAAGAUGCUAUGUUUAAAAUUUUAACAUUUUAAUUAAUAUUUUUAUUAAAAAAUAAUUUAACUCUUUGUGAAAAUUUAAUGAUUAAAUUUGACUCUUUUUAAAAUGUUAAAGACCAAAUUUAACUCAAGAGAAAAUAAAUACUAAAUUGACAAAAAUUAUAAAUAUUAAAAACUAAAUUUAUUAUAAAUUUUUUAAGGGUAAAUUCCCUAAUUGGUGACGCAAUUUUUUGAACACUUUUAUUUAGAUUAUCCAUAUAAAAAUACUUGACUGUAGACACUACAUAUUUUUAACAUUCUUUUUUUUCCUCCAGUACUGUUCAUCAUCUUCUUCCCUUCCGCCCAACCCCUACUUCCACCAUUCUUUCUUCCUUUGCUCCUUUCUUCUUCCAUCUUAAAGAAAAGGAUAAAUCUAUGAAAAGGAGUACAACAUGGUGGAAGAUAGGGGUUAAGACCUGAACUCUGGACCAAAGAAGAAGAAGCAAAACUUUCGCAUUAUUCUCCACAAAAUCAUUCGACCACAACUGAUUUUUUACCAUAAAAAAAAAACAGGACAACUUUAUGUUAUGUUUUACACCAAGAAUCUGAUAAUGAAGCAACAAAAAUCGAAUUGACUGAUGAUCAUAACUUGCCAGGCCCAGCUAAUUAAAAGCUUUAGAAUUACCUCUGCAAGAACAGUAAGUGUGGGGUGGAUUUAACUUCAACCAAUGGCCUGAAACUCGAAAACAGGCUUGAAUUUGUCAUUUCAACUUGUGUUAUCUCAAACAUUGACAUACACUCCAAAACCCCACUAGUUUAACCAUAUCCAAACUGCUUAAUACAUAUAAAAAUACUACAAAUUAUCCUAACAUAUAUAAAACAAAAUGGUUGUAACUGUUAGGAUCAUUUUGAUUCCAGAAAACAAGAAAGAUUUAUCGUUACCAAACAGACUGCUUGAGAGACUAAAACAUCGCUUUGAAAAUGCAGUGAGGGGACAAAAACAAACAAACACAUGAAGCCUGAUGAAGAGUAUCCUUGGAACAAGGUUUAAUGGUGGAGACAAGCCACAUAAGCCAUGAGUGAUAUGUUGGAGAAGCUGUGGUGAGAAAUGGGUGUUCUGUGGUAAGAAUAAUGCGAAAGUUUUGGUUCCUCUUCUUUGGUCCAGAGUUCAGGUCUUUACCUCUAUCUUCUUCCAUGCUAUACUCCAUUUUCAUAGGUUUAUCAUUUUCUUAAUGAUGAAAGAAGAAGGGAUCAAAGGAAGAAAGAAUG